UUCGGAUUGAGGUCUGCAACUCGACCUCAUGAAGUUGGAUUCGCUAGUAAUCGGAUAUCAGCAAUGAUCCGGUGAAUACGUUCCCGGGCCUUGUACACACCGCCCGUCAAGCCAUGGAAGUUGGGAGAACCUGAAGCCGAUAACCGCAAGGAGUCGUCUAGGGUUAUACCAGUAACUAGGGCUAAGUCGUAACAAGGUAACCGUACCGGAAGGUGUGGUUGGACCACCUCCUUU
rnacentral:rRNA from 1 species